GGUUCAUUGCUUUGUUGGAAGAUCUAGAAGGUGAUUCCUCUUUCGCUACCUAUGACACUUGCAUUCUAGGACUCUGUUCUUAUUCUUGCUACUGAAGUGAUCUGGCACAUCAAUCAUCAGUGAAGUAUUGCUCUGGAAUUCAUUGGUAAAUGGCUGUAGCUCCAAAACUGAACAUUGCUCUGACACCUGAAGAUGAGAAUCCUAAUUCAUUAAAUGCAAUUUUGGCUUAAUACAACUUGUUUGUUGAACCAUACACUUCAAGUUUAAGGCUUGUGGUACUUUGGUACAUGUAUUAGGCCUUGUGCCCUAUGUUACAAUUGUGAUUUUUCAAUUCUGAUCUGAAGGGUUUAUGGGAGAAUUAAUACUUUGUUUUGAUUGGUCCUAUUGUUACACCUGGAGUUCAAUUGCAAAUUCAAGAUUGAAUAAGAAAUAUGCUAAUCUCUACAUGAAAUGUAGCAUUAAUGGACAUCUUGCAAGUGACAUCAACUUUGGGUGGCAAUGAUACAGAAAAGAAGUGAGCAAUGGAGUUAGUAAUGAUAAAUGCUUGAACACAUUCAGUGUGGUGUGAAUUUUAUGAGAGAUAUCCAGGCCCUAGGGGGCUGGGCAUCUUUUUGGUUGGGACCUAAAAGAUACCUCAUAAGAUAUACCCUAACUUUGUGAAUUUUCUUAUUAUUUAUUCAUCUAAAUACGUGAAUUUUCUUAUUAUUUAUUCGUCUUAAUUUACCAUUCUUGUUUCCUAUAUUAUGAAGAUUUCAUUGAUUAAAGCUUCUUAUGACACGAGCAUUUUAUGCCUUUCAAGAAAGAAUAUGCUAUGAUUAAUAUUUUGCCUCUUUAAAUUUUAAAAGUUGGAAUACAGAUAUGUAGUGCUUUGUUCUUAGCUUCAAAUUUAUUUGUCUUGGCUAUCAGCGUGACAAUUGUUGUUGCCUAU
rnacentral:misc_RNA from 1 species